rnacentral:rRNA from 1 species
UUUUGGACAAUGGGGGCAACCCUGAUCCAGCCAUGCCGCGUGAGUGAAGAAGGCCUUCGGGUUGUAAAGCUCUUUCGGACGGAACGAAAUGGGCGGGACUAAUACUCCUGUCUGAUGACGGUACCGUAAGAAGAAGCACCGGCUAACUACGUGCCAGCAGCCGCGGUAAUACGUAGGGUGCGAGCGUUAGUCGGAAUUACUGGGCGUAAAGCGUGCGCAGGCGGUUUCGUAAGCUGGAGGUGAAAUCCCCGGGCUUAACCUGGGAAUGGCCUUCAGGACUGCGAGGCUAGAGUGCGGCAGAGGGAGGUGGAAUUCCACGUGUAGCAGUGAAAUGCGUAGAGAUGUGGAGGAACACCGAUGGCGAAGGCAGCCUCCUGGGCCAGCACUGACGCUCAUGCACGAAA